GACGAACGCUGGCGGCGUGCUUAACACAUGCAAGUCGAACGGAAAGGCCCUGCUUUUGUGGGGUGCUCGAGUGGCGAACGGGUGAGUAACACGUGAGUAACCUGCUCUUGACUUUGGGAUAACUUCAGGAAACUGGGGCUAAUACCGGAUAGGAGCUCCUGCUGCAUGGUGGGGGUUGGAAAGUUUCGGCGGUUGGGGAUGGACUCGCGGCUUAUCAGCUUGUUGGUGGGGUAGUGGCUUACCAAGGCUUUGACGGGUAGCCGGCCUGAGAGGGUGACCGGCCACAUUGGGACUGAGAUACGGCACAGACUAAUACGGGAGGAAGCAGUGGAGAAUAUUGCACAAAGGGCGGAAGCCUGAUGAAGGAACGCCGCGUGCGGGAUGACGGCCUUCGGGUUGUAAACCGGUUUCGCAUGUGACGAAGCGUGAGUGACGGUAAAGAGUAAAGAAGCACCGGCUAACUACG
rnacentral:rRNA from 1 species